GGGCCCUCCUGCGUGGCAGGUCCCGAGUGACCGCCCAGGUCGCAGGCCGGUGAAAGCAGCCCUGCUCCCUCCACACCCCCUCUCCGGGCCCCAGGACCCCAGGUGGCCUCCCCGGCCUCUUGGGUCCUCGCCGCCGUGGGGAGGGAAGGAAGAACACGGGCCGCAACACCCCUCUCCCUCCUCCCAUCUCCCUUCCAGGCCUGGAUCCGGCUGCCCCCCCAGACCCAAACCCCGGCCCGGCUGAAGCCCCCACCGUGGCUGAGGGAGGGAUACCCUCCCUAGGGUCUGGCGCCUACUUCAGCAGGAAGGCCCGACUCUCCUUCCGCCACCAGCUGCACGACCCGGCGUCGGCCAAUGACUCCACCAUUUGAUGGGGACGACCGGGGGCUGAACUUUGCAACCUUCCCUCCCCAGACUUCUGGGUGAUCCCUGUUUGGCCCCACAGCCCCCACGACCUUGUCAUUAAAUAUACUCAGAGCUGCCA
rnacentral:lncRNA from 1 species